AACUUUGCUCAGUGGCAGUAUCGUAGCCAACGAGGCUUAUCUGAGGAGUGAUUAUUGCUAAUUGAAAACUUUUCCCAGUAACCAGCUUGAUGGCACAAAAUAUAGUCUACAUUGGCAAUUUUUUUUUUUUUUUUUAGUUAGAG